CGGGGUGUAGCGCAGCCUGGUUAGCGCGCUUCGUUCGGGACGAAGAGGUCGGCUGUUCGAAUCAGCUCACCCCGA
rnacentral:tRNA from 1 species